CAAUAGGAAAGAUUAAUCCAACCCAGGUUGGUGCAAACCCGAUCGGGCCGAAAACGCUAUUAAUUUUGGAGAAACGUGCUGGUAAAUGGUGA